UUUGCCUCUUUUAUCAUUUUCAUCAUCUCAACAAAAGAAAAAAGAAAGCUUCCAAUCUCAUUUUAUCUCCAUUACUUUCUACACCAAAAUUGGGUCCCACAACCCGGUUCUUUGUCUAGAGGAUAACAGUUGAGUACUAGUGGUGGUCUCGGUUAGAAUUGGUAAGAAGAUAUCGAACCUUUUGAAAGCUUCAAAGGUAAUAUUUCUUAAAACCCUAAUUUGAUUAGUUUAUGGUUAUAUGUUAAUUGUGGCAAUUAGGGUAGAAAUUCGAUUCUUUUUCGCUGUGCAUGACUUAGGUCUAUCAUGUGGUAUCAGAGCAUGCUUCAUUUUUACCCAAUUGCAUGUGGUGGGUUCAUAUUUAUUAGAUAAAUUUUGUUUUGAACUAAAAUGGAUAUAUUAUGUGAUUUUGGCUCUAGAUUAAGUGUUUUUAUUCUAAUUAUUGUAAUUAGCCUUGUUAAUGGCUUAUUUUAUUGUUGCAAAGUGUUUGUAAUUUUAAAAAAAAAUAAAAAAGUCAUUAGAGUUGAAGUUAGGCUGUAACCGGUUCAACCGGGUGAGAGAAUUGAAAAAAAAUGAAGAAAAGAAGGUCACAGACCCGAAAACCCGCUUCGCGACCCGCACGCGCCCGCGCGCCCUCCUGCGCCCGUGCCGCCUGUGCCCGCGCGCCCGCCUGUGUCCGACCCGUGUGCGCCUGGGCCGGUUCAACCAAUAAAUUUGGUUUUUGGCCGGUUCAAGCGGUUUCGGUUGGUUUUUCAGCCGGUUCGAAGUUUUUGGGAGUGUUCUGUACUACACCAAAGUAAUUAUUAAUAAUUUAGUACUUAGCUUAAUUUAGAGCCAAAAAUCAGUCCAUUUAGGGUGUUUUUUUUAUUUAUGCAUGUGAUGUAUGAUUAAAUUACUUUAAAUUUGUAUGUGCAUUUUGAAUGUCAUAUAGAUUAAAAUCCCACCAUAGGUUACCAUGUUCAUGCAUUAAAAUGUAUGAUAUAAAGGUUAUAUAUUGUAUGCAUGUUAAUUGAUUAAUAUGGUAAUUAAUUAAUAUGAUUAAUUAAUUAUUUAAUUAAUUAAGUUAUUCUUGAUUAAAUAUGAUUUAAUCAAAUUAAUUAAUUAUUUUGAUUUAAUUUAAUUAAAAUGAUUUUAAUUAAAGUUAAAUAAAUAAAAUCCAUAUUAAUUGAUUGUUUUUAUAAUUAUAUAUUGAUAAAAUGAUUGAUUAAGUUUAAAAGUUUUUAUAAGUGUUAUAAAAUAAAUUAGACUUUUAAAAUCAAUAACAAAGAUUAAAUGCAUGCUCACUUAGGUUAAACAUAUCUUCCAUUUUUCAUAGAAAUAGGUCGAUAUCUUGUAAAACUGGUUACAAAAGGCUCACCUGGUUCAAUCUUGUCAACAAGUCAGAUAAGAUGACUAAGGUUGGAGGUUCUUAAGUUGACGGUUUACGGAACACCUCCUACCUGGAGAUCGUAAUCAGUUCUUGAGCCUAGUUAACCUAGUUUUAUGAGCAUUCGUGAGAGGUGUGAGGUAAUAAAAAUGGUUUUUCACCUAGACAUCAUAGGUUAAAAUCCUGUAUAAUGGUUAUACUUGGAUGUUUUAUCUAGACUUAAGAUUUGUUUAAGUUAGCCUAAAUAUAAAUCUUGAAGCUUGGAUUACCCUAUUUUUUUUUUAGAACACUUCAACUAGAGAAAAAUAAUGUAUUUUAGCUCUAGUGUCCCUAAGAGUUCACACCGUGAGGUCCAUGCAGGGCUUUGUGCCGUGCAUAGGAGCGGCCUCCCUUCGGAGAGUGUUUGCAUGGAUCAAAAUCAAGGUGAAUAGGGGAAGUAGUUCAUAGUAAGUGGGUGAGGGAUUUGUGCAGCACAUCCCACGGUCUCUUCCAUUAGGUCGCACCGUGAGAUUUCUAUAAUAUGCCUGCUUGUCUGCCCUGGAGCGACGUUCCCUUCGGAGGGUUGUAUUAUAGGAUUCGGAACACCGCGAACUCCAAAUCUGGAUAGGUUUUCUUAGAUUAGUUUUCAUAAAUGAUUCUAAUCUAUAUCUGAAAAUGGUGGGUAACACUUACAAGAAUUACUAAGUUGUUAGUAUAUUCUUGACUAAAGUAGCGAUAACUAAGUGCUAUAAAGAAUAAAGCAGUUAUUCUAGAGAUAGCAUCUAGUCAAGAUUGUCUUGGUUCAAAGGAGGAAUAAUCAACUACCCUUCGGAGAAGUUGUUCUAAACCUUUGAAAUAUUGUUGCAAAAUACAAAUAAUGAAAGGGUACAUUAUUAGUAAUUGCUAAAUUAGAUUGGAUAUUUUUUAUGAUUAUAGUUUUUUCCUAAAAAGAAUAUGUUUGUUUUUCAGCAUGAAUAGCUCAAUAGUUCAACUUUUAGCUUCCGAAAAACUUAAUGGCGAUAAUUAUGCGGCUUGGAAAUCAAAUCUUAACACAAUACUAGUGGUUGACGAUUUAAGAUUUGUCUUAACUGAGGAAUGUCCUCAAAACCCUGCCUCUAAUGCUAACCGAACUAGUCGGGAUGCAUAUGAUCGAUGGAUAAAAGCUAAUGAAAAAGCCCGUGUCUACAUUCUUGCCAGCAUGUCUGAUGUAUUGGCAAAGAAACAUGAAUCCUUAGCCACGGCUAAAGAGAUUAUGGAUUCAUUAAGGGGAAUGUUUGGGCAACCAGAAUGGUCCUUAAGACACGAGGCAGUCAAAUACAUUUACACUAAGCGUAUGAAGGAAGGGACCUCUGUUAGAGAACAUGUUCUGGACAUGAUGAUGCACUUCAACAUCGCUGAAGUGAAUGGUGGUCCCAUCGAAGAGGUUAAUCAAGUUAGUUUUAUCUUAGAGUCUCUUCCGAAGAGCUUCAUUCCAUUCCAAACGAAUGCGUCUUUGAACAAGAUAGAAUUUAACUUGACAACCCUUCUGAAUGAACUCCAGCGAUUCCAAAACCUAACUAUGGGUAAAGGAAAACAAGUGGAAGCAAAUGUUGCUACCACAAAAAGAAAAUUUAUAAGAGGAUCGUCCUCUAAAACCAAAGCUGGACCCUCAAAACCUAAUGCUCAAAUAAAAAAGAAAAGGGAAAGAAAGACUCCCAAACAGAACAAGUAAAAAGCUGCAGAAAAAGGUAAGUGUUACCAUUGUGGCCAAAACGGGCACUGGUUAAGAAACUGCCCAAAAUACCUUGAAAAAAAAGGCAGAGAAGGAAACACAAGGUAAAUAUGAUUUACUAGUUGUAGAAACAUGUUUAGUGGAAUAUGAAAAUUGUACCUGGAUACUAGAUUCAGGAGCCACUAACCAUAUUUGCUUCUCAUUUCAGGAAAAUAGUUUUGGAAAAAGCUUUCAGAAGGCGAGAUCACUCUCAAGGUUGGAACAGGAGAGAUGGUCUCAGCUUCAGCAGUGGGAGAUUUAAAGUUGUUUUUUAGAGAUAGAUAUGUCAUACUUAAGAAUGUCUUAUAUGUACCUCAAAUGAAAAGAAAUUUAAUAUCUAUCUCUUGUCUUUAUGUAUAGAAUAUCUUUUGAAAUUAAUGAAGCGUUCAUUUUCUAUAAAGGUAUUCUAGUUUGUUCUGCUAUACUUGAAGACAACUUAUAUAAGUUAAGACCAACCAGAGCAAAUUUUGUCUUAAAUACUGAAAUAUUCAGAACAGCUGAAACUCAGAAUAAAAGACAAAAAGUUUCUUCUAAUGCCUAUUUAUGGCACUUAAGACUUGGUCACAUAAAUCUCAAUAGGAUUGGGAGAUUAGUUAAAAGUGGGCUUCUAAAUCAGUUAGAAAAUAAUACUUUACCUCUUUGUGAAUCUUGUUGAAGGAAAAAUGACCAAGAGAUCUUUUACUGGAAAAGGUCUAAGAGCCAAAAGACCCUUAGAGCUCGUACAUUCGGACCUUUGUGGACCAAUGAAUGUCAAAGCUCGAGGUGGAUAUGAAUAUUUCAUUAGCUUCAUUGAUGAUUAUUCAAGGUAUGGUCAUAUUUACCUAAUACAUCAUAAGUCUAAUAGUCUUGAAAAGUUCAAAGAAUAUAAGGCUGAAGUAGAAAACGAAUUAGGUAAAACAAUAAAAAUACUUCGAUCAGAUCGAGGUGGAGAGUAUAUGGACUUACGAUUCCGAGACUAUUUAAUAGAAAAUGGAAUCAAGUCACAACUCUCUGCACCUAGUACACCUCAACAGAACGGUGUAUCAGAAAGAAGAAACCGGACCUUGUUAGACAUGGUUCGCUCUAUGAUGAGUUUUUCUCAGAUGUCAGAUUCUUUUUUGGGAUAUGCUUUAGAAACAGCUGCUUAUAUUUUGAAAAAUGUUCCCUCUAAAAGUGUUUCAGAAACACCUUAUGAGCUAGAGAAAGGGCGUAAAGGCAGUUUACGUCAUUUUAGAAUUUGGGGUUGUCCACAAACGUGUUGGUACAAAAUCCUAAGAAAUUGGAACAUCGUUCAAAAUUAUGCUUUUUUAUAGGUUAUCCAAAAGAAUCAAGAGGUGGUUUGUUUUAUGAUCCUCAAGAAAAUAAAAUAUUUGUGUCAACAAAUGCCACAUUCUUAGAGGAAGACACAUCAGAGAUCAUCAACCUCGUAGUAAACUAGUAUUAAAAGAAAUUUCAAAAGAGUGCUAUAGAUAAACCUAGUUCAUCCACUAAAGUAGUUGAUAAGACUAGGAAUUGGUCAAUCACAUCCUUCUCAACAUGAGAGAGCCUCGACGUAGUGGGAGGGUUGUUCAUCAGCCUGAUCGCUAUUUGGGUUUAAUUGAAACUCAAGUCGUUCAUACCUGACGAUGGCAUAGAGGAUCCAUUAACCUAUAAACAGGCAAUGAAAGAUGUAGAUCGUGACCAAUGGAUCAAAGCCAUGGACCUCGAAAUGGAGUCUAUGUACUUUAAUUCUGUCUGGACUCUAGUAGAUCAACCAAAUGACGUAAAACCUAUUGGUUGUAAAUGGAUCUACAAGAGAAAACGAGACCAUGCCGGUAAAGUAAGACUUUCAAGGCUCGACUUGUGGCAAAGGGUUAUACCAGAGAGAGGGAGUAGACUAUGAGGAAACUUUCUCUCCGUUGCCAUGUUAAAGUCAAUUAGAAUACUCUUAUCCAUCGCCACUUUUUAUGAUUAUGAAAUUUGGCAGAUGGAUGUCAAGACAGCUUUUUUGAACGGUAAUCUUGAAGAGAGUAUCUAUAUGUCUAAACCAGAGGGGUUUAUAGAACAAGAUCAAGAACAAAAGGUUUGUAAGCUUAAAAAAUCCAUUUAUGGAUUAAAACAAGCUUCUAGAUCCUGGAAUAUAAGAUUUGAUACUGCGAUCAAAUCUUAUGGCUUUGAACAAAAUAUUGACGAGCCUAGUGUUUACAAAAGGUCGUCAAUUCCAUUAUAGCAUUUUUAGUCUUAUAUGUAGAUGAUAUUCUACUUAUUGGAAAUGACGUAGGAUAUCUUACUGAUAUCAAGAAAUGGCUAGCUAUGCAAUUUCAAAUGAAAGAUCUGGGAGAUGCACAAUACGUUCUCGGAAUCCAAAUUGUUCGAAACCGUAAGAACAAAACACUAGCCAUGUCUCAAGCAUCUUACAUAGACAAAAUGUUGUCUAGAUAUAAAAUGCAGAAUUCCAAAAAGGGUCUGCUACCGUACAGAUAUGGAAUUCAUUUGUCAAAGGAACAAUGUCCUAAGACACCUCAAGAAGUUGAGGAUAUGAGAAAUAUUCCCUAUACUUCCGCUGUUGGAAGUUGGACGUGAUCACUGGACAACCGUUAAAAACAUUCUACAUGCUCAUGUAUCGUACAAAGGAUCUGAUCCUUACUGGAUACACUGAUUCAGAUUUCCAAACUGAUAAAGAUGUUAGAAAGUCUACAUCAGAAUCAGUAUUUACUGUAAAUGGAGGAGCAGUAGUUUGGAGAAGCAUAAAGCAAACUUGUAUAGCUGAUUCCACAAUGUAAGCUGAUCAUUUUACAAAAGCCCUCAUGGCUAAAGUGUUUGAGGGUCACCUACACAGUUUAGGUGUACGAUGUUUGUAAACUAGGACAGGUGGGAGACUUAUUGGCCAUGUGCCCUAGUUUCAUAUAUAUUCUCUCACACCACAUCUCUCAUACCACUAGGAAUUUUAGUCCAAGUGGGAGUUUGUUGGAAUUUUUUGUCCUAAAACUCGUAGUUUGUAAAUCAUAUUCUGUUCAAUAAAGUUGUUAUUGAGAAAUUAAAUAUUAUAAUCUUAAAUCCAAUAAAUCAAGUUCAAGGCUAUUUUUUGAAUAAACUUGAACUUUAUGUGUAAACAUAAACGUGGAUCAAGUUCAAGUAUAUAGCCUAAAUAGUCUAUAGUAUAUGAAAUAAAGGUUGGGCGCCUUAUUUUGAGAAACUAUGGAUGUGGCCCACUUUGUAGUACAAACGAGGUGAUCCUAAUCGUUCAUGUAGAGACAUAAAAGUGGGGGCAUCCUAUGUAAAAUGUUUACAUAAGACUGAACCAUGAAUUAGUCAUUUUUACGUUAUAACACCGUUCACUGUUUAAAACUGACUAUCUCAAUUAUUGAUGACCUAGGUAACUUAGUCUUAAUCCUGAGUUAACUAUGAACUCCUGUUCACACGAGAUUAUCCUUAGAUCUGCAUAGGUGAGGGCAGCUCAUCAGCGUUGGCCCAAUAAGCCUCCCAUUUCAGGGGUAAGAUCGGGUGGAUAGCUGGGAACAUAGGGUACAAGAUGGAAUUCACUCCUACCCGCUUUAGGGUUAUUAGAUAGGUUGCUCUCUUAAGCACUGAAUCCAAGUCUUGAACAAGGGGCCCCACCCUCUUCAUUGGCCCGAGAGGGAUUAAGUUUAUAGGUUGAACCUUAAAACCAAUUGUUCAAUAGUGGAUUAGUGGGACUUAAGGACCAAGAUGUAAUCUUGGGGGUAAAACGGUAUUUUGAACCUAGCCAAGGUUACGAGCAACCUGUGAAGGAUUAACUUACUGAUUAUGGUUUUAUCAAAUGGACACAAAUAUAUCUAUAGUGAGGGGAGUGCAACUACGGGACUUUAGUGGAAUGACCCGUUAGUUAGCGAAUGUUGAUUAACUCGGUUUAAAAGAGUUUAGCUAGUUAAUCUUGAAUCGUUGGAGCCCAUGAUCUAUAGGUCCAUUAGGUUCCUCUGCUAGCUCAUAUGGAUUAAACUUAGAACAGUGUGAUGAAAUAAGUCGAAUUGUUCGAAUUGGGAGAAGAAAGGGAAACCGACAAAUAUAGUGAUAUAGUCGUCGAUCUUCUAAUUAGAAAUAGAGCUUUAUGUUUUACAUACUAUAAGUAUGAAUGCGGAUUCAUACUAAGAAGCUCGGAAUUGGUCAAAAAUAGUAAAAAGUCAAAAUGUUGACUUUUGACUUUGAAAAGUCAAACUUUGACCGGCCUUAUAUUCAAAUGUGAUUUGAAUUUUGGAAAAAUGAAUGCGGAUUCAUGCUCGGGAGGUUGGAAUUAGUCAAGACGGACAAAAUGGUAAAAAAGUCAAAAUAUUGACUUUUGACUAAGAAAAGUCAAAGAUUGACUUUUGACUAGAAAUAUCUAAUGACCAUUUUACCCUUGGACUAAGUUAGUGGGAAAAUCCAACAUUUUGUUGGAUAAUCCCACUAACUCUUAGUGGGAUAUGUGGCUAUAUGAGAUAUAGACACCUAGCCCACUAAGUUCCACUAAUUGUUAGUGGAACAUUAGCUGUUGAGAUUUGGCAAAUGAAUUGCAUGCAUUUUUGCAUGUAAUUAGGUUAUAAAUAGAGGUGUUUUCAAAUGUUGAAGGACUUUUGCCUCUUUUAUCAUUUUCAUCAUCUCAACAAAAAGAAUUCCAAUCUCAUUUUAUCUCCAUUACUUUCUACACCAAAAUUGGGUCCCACAACCCGGUUCUUUGUCUAGAGGAUAGCAGUUGAGUACUAGUGGUGGUCUCGGUUAGAAUUGGUAAGAAGAUAUCGAACCUUUUGAAAGCUUCAAAGGUAAUAUUUCUUAAAACCCUAAUUUGAUUAGUUUAUGGUUAUAUGUUAAUUGUGACAAUUAGGGUAGAAAUUCGAUUCUUUUCCGCUUUGCAUGACUUAGGUCUAUCACCAUCAACCAGAGAUCCAUGACCAAUUCCAUUCAUAAAUGUGUCCACACCAUUCGGCUUCGGCCCAUUUACCGGCUCACUAGGUUUCAUCAAGUUUUCAUUCAAAACAAUCGGCCCACACGCCUUUGGGCCAAC
rnacentral:lncRNA from 1 species